rnacentral:misc_RNA from 1 species
GAUGAAGAACGCAGCGAAAUGCGAUAAGUAAUGUGAAUUGCAGAAUUCAGUGAAUCAUCGAAUCUUUGAACGCACAUUGCGCCCCCUGGUAUUCCGGGGGGCAUGCCUGUCCGAGCGUCAUUACAACCCUCAAGCUCAGCUUGGUGUUGGGCCCCGCCGCCCCGGCGGGCCCUAAAGUCAGUGGCGGUGCCGUCCGGCUCCGAGCGUAGUAAUUCUUCUCGCUCUGGAGGUCCGGUCGUGUGCUCGCCAGCAACCCCCAAUUUUUUUCAGGUUGACCUCGGAUCAGGUAGGGAUACCCGCUGAACUUAAGCAUAUCCAAUAAGCGGAGGA